ACUUCCUAAAUGCUGCUUGCACGUGUCAGCUCUUAGGCAAGGUGGGAUCCACUUGGAGAGACCAUCUGCAACUCAAGUCAUCAGAACAGGCAGCUGGAAGUGUCUUUCCCUCACUGUGAGCUGCUUCUCCCUGCUGCCUGGUGCUCACUCAAGAGUGCUUGUGAAGAGAGGCCUGGCUCAGACGAGGACACAAAUCCCCUUCACCAGGGAACCUUGUGCCUUCAGGGUAGCUGAGCCGCCGCGACCACCACGAACUGCUUCAGCCGCGAGCAGCCACCAGGUGGAGAAGCGCAGGGCAGCACCGCUCCCCAGCCUCGGCAGCGCUUCCAUGCCCGCCCCACGGGUCUCCAGCAGCCUCCGGAGGCCCUCGGCUGCUCCCUACAGUGCAAAGCAGAGCCCACGGGUCGGGAGAGCUGCAAGUAACCAGAGAAACCCCAGAAACUUGAGUUUCCCAAUCAGCUCAGUUUCUCACACUGGAGAAAAUCUUCACUCUGACUUCUGACUUGUGCCCAACAGCUGUGCAUUGUUUUGAUGCUGAGGCCAUAGGGAUCAGUGCCCAGGAUUAAGAUCCUGAGACCUGGAGUGAAAGUAAUUUAAGAAAUUAUUUAACAGAUACCUUGUCUCAGGAGAAAAGAGAAUAUGAGCUCAGUAUAUCAGCAGUAACAUUGUUAAAAAUUCAGUUCCUAUGCAGUUUUGAUGCCAGUUGUCUCAUUUCUUUACAUGCUGACCUCUUUUCUCUAAAGAAGCUCCCUCUGAAGCUGCCCACUCUCAGUGCUACCACCUGUGUUGUGUGUUCCAUCUCCCAUUCCCUUUCAAACUCUCUGCUUGGUUUGCUCUCCUCUUCUUGCCUGUGGAAGUCAAGGAGCACAUGCAAAACCCCUCAGCUUGCUCCGGGGGUGUUGCAGGAAGGGCCAGGACUCUCCACCGACAAAAAUGCAGUGAAGAUCAGAAAAUGUUUGCUGUCCAAAAUGGGAUAGCAAAUAAAAAACACGCUUUAAGCAGCAUUAACCAUUCGGAUGCAAUCACCAAGGAUGGCUGUUUUGCUAAUGCCUAUCAUCACUAAAGGAACAUAUUAAUAACGUUGAUGAAAUCCCCUUCAGAUCUUAUUAUUAUUAUGUUAAAUAAAGCUUAGCCUAUUUAUGACAGCAAAGCUUGUUUGUUAGUCACAAAGUGUUUUGUUUGUUUGUUGAGGUUUCAGGGGGUUGUUUGGGAAAAUUGUGAUCAGCGUGCUUUUGAUUAGCAUCGCUAAGAGGCACUUUAGCUUAAUGAAAUGAUUAAUUGAUUCAUCCAGGUAUGCAGCCACACUAACAGCUGCUUCAACACAUACAAAAGAUUCCCCUUAAAAUACGACCUUGCCUCACUAACGUGAGGCAGUACCCAUGGAUACAUGUUAAUUAUAAGGUUGACAGGAAUAUGUAAGGAUAGCUAAUGCUGUAGCUGAAUUAUUUAAUGAAGACUAUGGAAGAAAGUCACGAAAUGGAAACGAAAUCAUCAGCCAAACAGGAAACCGUGGGCUGUAAUCUACCUCAAAUCACCUUAAUCUACCAAUGAUAAUCAAUUUCUCUUGAAUUAUAGCAGCAAGGAAGCUGGAAUGUAAUGGCUUAAUUCCUGCAUUAUAGAUUGUUUGAAAAUGGAGUAAUUACACAAGUUCAAGCCACAGUUUAACAGAUCCCUGUUGUCUUAAUAAGUAUUUGCUUUCUAUUUUCUUGCCUACUUUUUAUGCAACACUACCUGUAGCCUAAAAGCUCUAUAAAUACAGAUUCUGGUAAACAUACACAAGCUCAUAGCAUGGUAAAUGGAAGCCUAACAACCUUUUAAAAUCCCAGUGAUUACUAUAUAUAAAAUGCAUGUAGUCUUAAAGACAGAACUUCAGAUUUUUGUGGUGAAAGAAAAAAUAAUUGCAUGCAUGGUAUACCAUGAGACACAGAACAAUAAGGACAGGAGAGAGGCACAGCAAAUUGAAGACAACACCGAGACCAGCGGAGGAUGGCAUGUCAGGGGACCCUGUCUGAGAACAGAAGCCCAUGUUAGGAUGCCCGAGCCACCACAGGUGGCUCGAUAACGCUGCCUAGCAUAUGAAUGUAAUCAGCUGGAAUGAAGCAAAAGCAUUCAACAACCUCUGCAGAGGCUAGGUGGCAGCAUUGGCACAUGCUCCGAGGCACAGGCAAGCUACUGCCUGUGUUACACACAGUGGGCUCAAAUUGUGAGUCCUCCAUUUAGAGGAAUCAGGUUUAGAUCUCCUCUUUUGUCAUCUGAAAUAGGUUGCUUAUGAUCUGUGAAACUUUAGACUGAAGACCAGCAACCACCCAACUAAAGAGCGAAAGGAACAGCCAAAAAGUCUUAACCAGUGUUUCCCAAGCAGAAAUAAUUUAUCAUUUAACAGUGUAAAGGUGUUUGUUGUUUUUUGUUUGUAUUUUUUGUUUGUUUGUUUUGGCUGUACACAUUUCUGUAUGUUGGUAGAUUGAUUUAUUAGUGACACACUACCAAAUGAGCUUGUCACUAAAGGGAAUGUGCAUUACUGGAAAUGAGUAUUUACAUUCAAAUGAAAUACAGAGAGGUGGAGGGCUUUGCCACAGACACUGAAAGAGAUUAAUGGUUAAAAAGAUAAAGACCUUCAAAGACCGUAUGUUGCCCAAAGCAAGCUUUAAUGAAUUUUGUUGUGGUUCAGUGAA